rnacentral:rRNA from 1 species
UACGGAGGGUGCUAGCGUUGUCCGGAAUCAUUGGGCGUAAAGGGCGCGUAGGUUGCCCGGUCAGUUUUUGGUGAAAGCGCGGGGCUCAACCCUGCGUCGGCCAGGGAUACUGCCGCGGCUCGAGCACUGUAGAGGCAGGCGGAAUUCCGGGUGUAGCGGUGGAAUGCGUAGAGAUCCGGAAGAACACCAAUGGCGAAGGCAGCCUUCUGGGCCAACACUGACGCUCAUGCACGAAAGCGUGGGGAGCAAACAGG